rnacentral:rRNA from 1 species
GACGAACGCUGGCGGCGUGCUUAAACACAUGCAAGUCGAGCGGUAAGGCCCUUUCGGGGGUACACGAGCGGCGAACGGGUGAGUAACACGUGGGUGACCUGCCCUUAGCUCUGGGAUAAGCCUGGGAAACUGGGUCUAAUACCGGAUAUGACUCCAUGACGCAUGUUGUGGGGUGGAAAGCCUUGUGCGGCUGGGGAUGGGCCCGCGGCCUAUCAGCUUGUUGGUGGGGUGAUGGCCUACCAAGGCGA